AAUACAUGCAAGUCGAGCGGACCGAAAAGAAGCUGNCUUCGAUUCGGUUAGCGGCGGACGGGUGAGUAACACGUGGGCAACCUGCCCUGUAGACGGGGAUAACACCGAGAAAUCGGUGCUAAUACCGGAUAACACGAAAUGUCGCAUGACAUUUCGUUGAAAGGCGGCGCAAGCUGUCGCUACAGGAUGGGCCCGCGGCGCAUUAGCUAGUUGGUGAGGUAACGGCUCACCAAGGCGACGAUGCGUAGCCGACCUGAGAGGGUGAUCGGCCACACUGGGACUGAGACACGGCCCAGACUCCUACGGGAGGCAGCAGUAGGGAAUCUUCCGCAAUGGACGAAAGUCUGACGGAGCAACGCCGCGUGAGCGAAGAAGGUCUUCGGAUUGUAAAGCUCUGUUGUUAGGGAAGAACAAGUACCGCAGUAACUGGCGGUACCUUGACGGUACCUAACGAGAAAGCCACGGCUAACUACGUGCCAGCAGCCGCGGUAAUACGUAGGUGGCAAGCGUUGUCCGGAAUUAUUGGGCGUAAAGCUCGCGCAGGCGGUCCUUUAAGUCUGAUGUGAAAGCCCACGGCUCAACCGUGGAGGGUCAUUGGAAACUGGGGGACUUGAGUGCAGAAGAGGAGAGCGGAAUUCCACGUGUAGCGGUGAAAUGCGUAGAGAUGUGGAGGAACACCAGUGGCGAAGGCGGCUCUCUGGUCUGUAACUGACGCUGAGGCGCGAAAGCGUGGGGAGCAAACAGGAUUAGAUACCCUGGUAGUCCACGCCGUAAACGAUGAGUGCUAAGUGUUAGAGGGGUUACUCCCUUUAGUGCUGUAGCUAACGCAUUAAGCACUCCGCCUGGGGAGUACGCUCGCAAGAGUGAAACUCAAAGGAAUUGACGG
rnacentral:rRNA from 1 species